rnacentral:rRNA from 1 species
UACGUAGGGUGCGAGCGUUAAUCGGAAUUACUGGGCGUAAAGGGUGCGCAGGCGGUUCUGCAAGUCAGGCGUGAAAUCCCCGGGCUUAACCUGGGAAUGGCGCUUGAAACUACGGGACUGGAGUAUGGCAGAGGGAGGUGGAAUUCCACGUGUAGCGGUGAAAUGCGUAGAGAUGUGGAGGAACACCGAUGGCGAAGGCAGCCUCCUGGGCCAAUACUGACGCUCAUGCACGAAAGUGUGGGGAUCAAACAGG